GGCGCUGUGGCUUAGUUGGUUAAAGCGCCUGUCUAGAAACAUGAGAUCUUUGGUCCAAAUCCCAGCAGUGCCU
rnacentral:tRNA from 1 species